rnacentral:rRNA from 1 species
AUUGAACGCUGGCGGCAGGCCUAACACAUGCAAGUCGAGCGGAUGAAGGGAGCUUUCUCCUGGAUUCAGCGUCGGACGGGUGAGUAAUGCCUAUGAAUCUGCCUGGUAGUGGGGGAUAACGUCCGGAAACGGGCGCUAAUACCGCAUACGUCCUGAGGGUGAAAGUGGGGGAUCUUCGGACCUCACGCUAUCAGAUGAGCCUAGGUCGGAUUAGCUAGUUGGUGGGGUAAAGGCCUACCAAGGCGACGAUCCGUAACUGGUCUGAGAGGAUGAUCAGUCACACUGGAACGGGGACACGGUCCAGACUCCUACGGGAGGCAGCAGUGGGGAAUAUUGGACAAUGGGGGAAAGCCUGAUCCAGCCAUGCCGCGUGUGUGAAGAAGGUCUUCGGAUUGUAAAGCACUUUAAGUUGGGAGGAAGGGCAGUAAGUUAAUACGUUGCUGUUUUGACGUUACCAACAGAAUAAGCACCGGCUAACUUCGUG